UGGCUGGGUUUACAAGAGGUUUUAAUAGCUGGGUUUACAAGAGGUUUUAAUGGCUGGGUUUACAAGAGGUUUUAAUGGCUGGGUUUACAAGAGGUUUUAAUGGCUGGGUUUACAAGAGGUUUUAAUGGCUGGGUUUACAAGAGGUUUUAAUGGCUGGGUUUACAAGAGGUUUUAAUGGCUGGGUUUACAAGAGGUUUUAAUGGCUGGGUUUACAAGAGGUUUUAAUAGCUGGGUUCAAGAGAGGUUUUAAUGGCUGGGUUUACAAGAGGUUUUAAUGGCUGGGUUCAAGAGAGGUUUUAAUGGCUGGGUUUACAAGAGGUUUUAAUAGCUGGGUUCAAGAGAGGUUUUAAUGGCUGGGUUUACAAGAGGUUUUAAUAGCUGGGUUCAAGAGAGGUUUUAAUAGCUGGGUUUACAAGAGGUUUUAAU